rnacentral:rRNA from 1 species
GCUCGACCUCAGAUCAGGUAGGAAUACCCGCUGAACUUAAGCAUAUCAAUAAGCGGAGGAAAAGAAACCAACAGGGAUUGCCUCAGUAGCGGCGAGUGAAGCGGCAAGAGCUCAGAUUUGAAAUCUCACCUAGUGUGCGAGUUGUAAAUUGCAGGUUGGAGUCUCGGGUUAGACGUGUGUGCAAGUCCCUUGGAACAGGGCGCCACUGAGGGUGAGAGCCCCGUAUGCGUGCAUGUCGACACCUGUGAGGCCCUUCUGACGAGUCGAGUUGUUG